GAUGAACGCUCGCUACAGGCUUAACACAUGCAAGUCGAGGGGCAGCAUGGUCUUAGCUUGCUAAGGCCGAUGGCGACCGGCGCACGGGCGAGUAACACGUAUCCAACCUGCCGUCUACUCUUGGACAGCCUUCUGAAAGGAAGAUUAAUACAAGAUGGCAUCAUGAGUCCGCAUGUUCACAUGAUUAAAGGUAUUCCGGUAGACGAUGGGGAUGCGUUCCAUUAGAUAGUAGGCGGGGUAACGGCCCACCUAGUCUUCGAUGGAUAGGGGUUCUGAGAGGAAGGUCCCCCACAUUGGAACUGAGACACGGUCCAAACUCCUACGGGAGGCAGCAGUGAGGAAUAUUGGUCAAUGGGCGCAGGCCUGAACCAGCCAAGUAGCGUGAAGGAUGACUGCCCUAUGGGUUGUAAACUUCUUUUAUAAAGGAAUAAAGUCGGGUAUGUAUACCCGUUUGCAUGUACUUUAUGAAUAAGGAUCGGCUAACUCCGUG
rnacentral:rRNA from 1 species